ensembl:lncRNA
UGUAUGUAUAUAUGUAUAUGUAUAUGUGUAUGUAUAUAUAUAUGUAUAUAUAUAUAUAUGUGUGUAUAUAUAUAUGGGAUGUAUCUAUCGUGUGUGUGUGUGCAUAUGGUUUGCAAUUGCAUCUUUAUGUUGUGUGAAUCUAUGUGUAUCUGUGGUGUGUGCGUGCAUAUGGUGUGAAUCUAUAUGGUGUGUCUGUAUGGUUUUGUCUGUAUUGUGUGACGUGUGUCGUGGGAAGGCGAUGACUCCAGUUUAACCAGUGAAUGAGUCUCUCUGCUCUCUUUGAUAAAAGCUUCCUUCUCACUCCUCAAAGGGACGUUCAGGAUGCUGCCAAGUUACGGUUGCAAUGGAGACGGUAUCUCGCAGAGCGCUCAGAGAGCAGAUGUUCUCGUGUUAACAUCGCCCUCUGCUGUCCAUAUCCGCUCACUACACACAGGGACGCAAGACCCUGACUUCUUUUUCACCAACUUGACAUCAAACAGUAGUAACACACAUAGGUGAAUUGAAUGAAGACUUUUUUCGUUUUGAAGUAUGAAUCUAAAUCAGUCAAAUCAGGCUCAUCCCUUUAAUUAAAAUGAGGGAGGUCAUUUAAGAUCAAACACAGAGCUGAAAUAGCCUCUCACUGUUACCAAGGUGACCAGGGGGCGCCGAACCUGCGUUGAGUUUUACUAAUUAGCUCCCCUGCCGCAGCUCGCCUGCCAAGUGGUUUUCUUAAUCAGUUAAUUGGUUUCAUCUGGUGCGUUUCACUUAAGAGGGAACCGAACGGUACGUUAGUGUCCUGUUUGGCUGUUUUGACUUUUUGAAGUUAAGAGAAGCAUCUCAUCUGAACCUGAUGUGAGUAGAAUUUUUGUGGCAAAGCAUAACUGAUGUGACUGAUGUUGAAUAUAAUUCACUGAUAAUGUGUGAAGGAAAUCGGGGAUUGUGGUGGUUUAACUCUCAUUUGAAAUUUAAAUGAUUCUACCUGAAAGUAACAUUUUAGAGAUUAUGCAUUCAAACUUGUCAAAGUAAGAGGUAAAUCACUCUGGACUAAUGACGAGUCAAGUCUAUCAUGGAUAUUUAACUGCAGUUCUGUGAGUAUCCCAACUUAACCCUGAAGAUGAACUGCAAACUGUAAGUCAUUAAUUUCUCAUUACUCUUGGGCACAUUGAUGUAUUUUGGCUUCCUGGUGAGUUAACCCAUUACCUAUGGUUGAUCUGAGUAGUAAGGUGUUUUAUUGGUUCAUGGGUUACUUAGGUGUUUGGUUUAUGUUGGUUUUAAUGAUUUGUUAAAAUGGUUACAGGCUCCAAGUUAUUGUUGUAAGCUGGAGUAAUGGAUUGGGUUCUGAUAUCUGCAGUCUUCUUUCAUGCUACUCUCCUGAGCUCAACAUCUUCAUCACAUGAGUGGUGAGGGUGUGGUCUGAAUGAGCGGAGGUGCAUACUGGGAUACAGAGCUGGCUGAAUUCUACAGGUCUGUAGACACGCCCCCUCAGGGGAAACCGAGUCUUUGAGAAACCGUUGUGACGUCAGUUACGUGAACUAGAAUGUUCUUAAAGAUGGAGACAGGGAUUCAGAAGGAGAAACACCAGGGGGAGAUGAGGGGGCUCCUCAUCUCAAUGACUAAAACACAACUUCAGUCUGACACAGAGAACCAUGGAACACAUUCAAAAGUCCCCUCCAUGCAUUGUGACUUCUCAGGAACAGUUUCAUUUCCAAGAAGGUCUUAUUUGGGGCCAUCCCCAGAUGGAUCCUGCUCCUCAAGAGCCAUCCCCCUCCAAUCAGUGGUCUUCUGAACAGAUGACCUCCUUCCUGUCCUCAAGCUGACUAAAGCUGCACCGUUUGCAUCUGUGAAGGCCCCUCAUUCAGGAAACCACUGGACUUCAGAGACGUUGAAUCAACCUGGGACACAUUUUGGAGACGCCAAGCAUAAUCCAUCACCAAUGUGGGACGCCACUGAAUAAUGUUGGACAUAAUUUACGUCUCUGGAGACAUUGGUUGUUCUGUUCUGGUUGCCCUGGCGGGAGAGCUUGGGGUGGAUGAUGGAAUGUUAUUUGGCAUGAGGUUUUUACCCUGUGUGCGUGUGUGACAUGAGAUGGAUGAUUUUUGAGCAUUGCUAGGGUUAUACUGUGUGUGUCUCCCACUCACACCUGGCAUGGGGUUCUACAUGCCUGUCCUGGGUUAUAUGUGUGUGUGUGUCCGGCUUGCUUUGACAGUGAUAAUGUUCAUACAGGGGUCUGUGUGAUUGGCUUGGGAUAUUGGAAUGGUCAAAUAAAUCAUACCUGAUGGACGGCCACACGUUUACUGAAGGGCCUCCAGAGCGACACUGAGGAGCGAUAUCCAACACACUGGAAAAAAAGGACAGUAUCCAACUCAAGUGUAAAAGGAUGCAAGCGGCGUGUUCAGAUCAGUCUCUUCGAGCUAGGACUACACCAAUCAGGAUCAAUGGCGGAUGGACACCUAAAGGAAUUCCACAAGGAGAGUCUGACAUUGGAAAUGGAUAUUCAAGAUGACCUUCAGACCUGUACUGAGACGGCUCUUCCUACCUGGCUGGAUUGAUGGAGAGCCCUGUGGAUCUUGUCUUUCUCUCAGUUGCACGUCUUCUCAGGCUGAACUGUAUUUGUUUCGGACAGGCCUAGAUGAACGAUUUGUUCCCUUAAAUCAGAACCAAUCUGGGAACUCCAACUAGUGCGCUCUUCGAGCUGAAGUUGUGCUUUUUCAGCUGAGGAGGUAAGGAAACCUUCACUGGGGCUUUAGGGUGUAAAGAGGACAAUCGAGCGAUAUCCAACACACUGGGGAGGAAGGAGAAUAUCCAAAUCCAGUGUAAAAGGAUGCAAGCGGAGUUUUCAGAUCAGUGACUUCAAACUAGGACUACACCAAUCAGAAUCAAUGGAGGAUGGACCCAUAAAGGCAUUCAACAAGGAGAGUCUGAAGUUGGAAAGGGUCCACAAUGGACAUUCAAGAUGACCUUCAGACCUGUAAUUAGACGGCUCUUCCUACCUGGCUGGAUUGAUGGAGAGCACUGUGGAUCUUGUCUUGCUCUCAGUUGCACGUCUGCUCAGGCUGAACUGUAUUUGUUUCGGACAGGACUAGAUGAACGAUUUGUUCCCUUAAAUCAGAACCAAACUGGGAACUCUAACUAGUGCGCUCUUCGAGCUGAAGUUGUGCACUUCAGCUGAGGGGGUAAGGAAACCUUCACUGGGGCUUUAGGGUGUAAAGAGGACAAUGUUUUUCUUUUGCUGUGAACAGACUGUAGUGUUCCAUGGUACUCUGAUGAGGACUGUUGUUGUGUUCCACUGGCUGAGAGGAAGAACCCUCACAUCUUCCUCUAUGCCUUUCUCCUCUGAGAAUCCUGGCGGCAUCUUGAAGGAUAUUCCAGCUCAUGUAACUGAUGUCACGACAGAUUCUCAAACACUUGGUUUCUCCUGAGGGGCGUGUCUAUAGAACUGAAGACUUCAGACAGCACUGUAUCCCAGCAUGCAUCUCUGCUCACUCAGACCACACCCCCAUGAUUAGGAUGCAACACUAGUGAUGGAGAUGUAGAGUUUUAUAAGUAACGAGGGAGCAGACAAAGGUGAUUAGAACACAAUGGCAUUUCAAGUCUGUAAAUCUUUAAACAAUGAAGAUGGUUGGAAAGUUCAGGAAUUGGGCUUUUUAUUAUUGGCAGUCCUUUCACUCGGAUGCCCACUUCUCACUGGACCUGUACAUGUGUUGGCUGGCUGGCAUGAUUUGCUGUUGGUGUUGAGGCGAUCGAGGUGACGUUGCAGGGAUAUGGUCGGCUCUCUGUGAGCUCAACGUUUAGAUUUGAUUUUUUUG